CAGCCGCCGCGGUAAUACGUAGGUCCCGAGCGUUGUCCGGAUUUAUUGGGCGUAAAGCGAGCGCAGGCGGUUAGAUAAGUCUGAAGUUAAAGGCUGUGGCUUAACCAUAGUACGCUUUGGAAACUGUUUAACUUGAGUGCAAGAGGGGAGAGUGGAAUUCCAUGUGUAGCGGUGAAAUGCGUAGAUAUAUGGAGGAACACCGGUGGCGAAAGCGGCUCUCUGGCUUGUAACUGACGCUGAGGCUCGAAAGCGUGGGGAGCAAACAAGAUUAGAUACCCGUGUAGUCCCUGUCUCUUAUACA
rnacentral:rRNA from 1 species